AUCCUUACUCACGUUUACAGCUGCUGCUAUAUUAGGAAACUCACUUAAGUGUGCCUGAUAGCUGCUAUAAAAAGGCAUGCAGCGAGCAGUGGCUAAACAGAAACAGCUUGACAGAGGCUAACAAAGAAGGCAGAGACCUAUAUAAAGCAAGGCAGAGACCUAUAUACAGCAAGGCAGAGACCUAUAUACAGCAACUGGGAAACAAACAGGCUUCAGAAGCAUGAGAUCAAGACUUUUAACUUCUGUCGACCAUUUACCAACCAUAAAUGAGGAAGGACCUUGCACUGAUGUUCACAUGUUUAAUGGACUUGAGGAAUAUGUCAAAUCAAUUCAAACUCUUUCUCAGCCAAGCUUGCCGACAGCAGACCUGAUGAAGCCGAGAGAAAACAGAAGCCAGAAUAAGGACUGGCACAAAACCAGAUCAUUAUUAACAGGCUGUGAGGGGAGAGUUCUGCAUCCAACACAAGAUAACGUGACCUCUCCUUCAAUCCUUAAUGCUGCUCAAUCUAUUGCUGAUCCAUUGGCUUGGCUAUACAGAGCACGUGGGAAGGAAAACCAAGACAGUCAAGAGGCACGUUCUUCACCUGGUCUUACCCUGCAACAAAAUUUACAGUCUAAUCCUUUGCAAAUCUUUACAACAUGUAACCUUUGGCGACACAACAGCAGUAAAUAUCAGCGCAGUGAAAAACAAACUCAGCAAAGAAGAAAAAGCAGGCCUCAAAGAUUCCAAAAGAAAUGUUGUUCUACCAGCUACACUUGCCGAGGGGCGUUAAACAUACUUCAGCAACCUCAGCUACCAAUUAUUUAUGAGUUUUAAUUCCAGAUGAAAGUACUUUGACAUCUGUCAUUAUUUUAUGUUUUUCUCUAUAUUAGAGAAUGGCGUGUCUGCAUUUUUCAGACUUUAUUAACAUAAUACAUAAUUAAUAAAUUAAUAAUUGUUUAAUUAA